rnacentral:rRNA from 1 species
UUCGGCUAGGGGGUCAUCCCGACUUACCAACCCGAUGCAAACUACGAAUACCGAAGAAUGUUAUCACGGGAGACACACGGCGGGUGCUAACGUCCGUCGUGAAGAGGGAAACAACCCAGACCGCCAGCUAAGGUCCCAAAGUCAUGGUUAAGUGGGAAACGAUGUGGGAAGGCACAGACAGCCAGGAUGUUGGCUUAGAAGCAGCCAUCAUUUAAAGAAAGCGUAAUAGCUCACUGGUCGAGUCGGCCUGCGCGGAAGAUGUAACGGGGCUAAACCAUGCACCGAAGCUGCGGCAGCGACACUAUGUGUUGUUGGGUAGGGGAGCGUUCUGUAAGCCUGCGAAGGUGUGCUGUGAGGCAUGCUGGAGGUAUCAGAAGUGCGAAUGCUGACAUAAGUAACGAUAAAGCGGGUGAAAAGCCCGCUCGCCGGAAGACCAAGGGUUCCUGUCCAACGUUAAUCGGGGCAGGGUGAGUCGACCCCUAAGGCGAGGCCGAAAGGCGUAGUCGAUGGGAAACAGGUUAAUAUUCCUGUACUUGGUGUUACUGCGAAGGGGGGACGGAGAAGGCUAUGUUAGCCGGGCGACGGUUGUCCCGGUUUAAGCAUGUAGGCUGGUUGUCCAGGCAAAUCCGGAUAAUCAAGGCUGAGGUGUGAUGACGAGGCACUACGGUGCUGAAGUAACAAAUGCCCUGCUUCCAGGAAAAGCCUCUAAGCAUCAGGUAACAUCAAAUCGUACCCCAAACCGACACAGGUGGUCAGGUAGAGAAUACCAAGGCGCUUGAGAGAACUCGGGUGAAGGAACUAGGCAAAAUGGUGCCGUAACUUCGGGAGAAGGCACGCUGGUGUGUAGGUGAAGUCCCUGCGGAUGGAGCUGAGACCAGUCGAAGAUACCAGCUGGCUGCAACUGUUUAUUAAAAACACAGCACUGUGCAAACACGAAAGUGGACGUAUACGGUGUGACGCCUGCCCGGUGCCGGAAGGUUAAUUGAUGGGGUUAUCCGUAAGGAGAAGCUCUUGAUCGAAGCCCCGGUAAACGGCGGCCGUAACUAUAACGGUCCUAAGGUAGCGAAAUUCCUUGUCGGGUAAGUUCCGACCUGCACGAAUGGCGUAAUGAUGGCCAGGCUGUCUCCACCCGAGACUCAGUGAAAUUGAACUCGCUGUGAAGAUGCAGUGUACCCGCGGCAAGACGGAAAGACCCCGUGAACCUUUACUAUAGCUUGACACUGAACAUUGAGCCUUGAUGUGUAGGAUAGGUGGGAGGCUUUGAAGCGUGGACGCCAGUCUGCGUGGAGCCAACCUUGAAAUACCACCCUUUAAUGUUUGAUGUUCUAACGUUGGCCCCUUACCGGGGUUGCGGACAGUGUCUGGUGGGUAGUUUGACUGGGGCGGUCUCCUCCCAAAGCGUAACGGAGGAGCACGAAGGUUAGCUAAUCCUGGUCGGACAUCAGGAGGUUAGUGCAAUGGCAUAAGCUAGCUUGACUGCGAGCGUGACGGCGCGAGCAGGUGCGAAAGCAGGUCAUAGUGAUCCGGUGGUUCUGAAUGGAAGGGCCAUCGCUCAACGGAUAAAAGGUACUCCGGGGAUAACAGGCUGAUACCGCCCAAGAGUUCAUAUCGACGGCGGUGUUUGGCACCUCGAUGUCGGCUCAUCACAUCCUGGGGCUGAAGUAGGUCCCAAGGGUAUGGCUGUUCGCCAUUUAAAGUGGUACGCGAGCUGGGUUUAGAACGUCGUGAGACAGUUCGGUCCCUAUCUGCCGUGGGCGCUGGAGAAUUGAGGGGGGCUGCUCCUAGUACGAGAGGACCGGAGUGGACGCAUCACUGGUGUUCGGGUUGUCAUGCCAAUGGCACUGCCCGGUAGCUAAAUGCGGAAGAGAUAAGUGCUGAAAGCAUCUAAGCACGAAACUUGCCCCGAGAUGAGUUCUCCCUGAGACUU